rnacentral:sRNA from 1 species
UAUCGAAGUGGCGCAUGGACGCCGACUGC